AUUGAACGCUGGCGGCAGGCUUAACACAUGCAAGUCGAGCGGAGCGAGGGUGCUUGCACCUUAGCUUAGCGGCGGACGGGUGAGUAAUGCUUAGGAAUCUGCCUAUUAGUGGGGGACAACAUUCCGAAAGGAAUGCUAAUACCGCAUACGCCCUACGGGGGAAAGCAGGGGAUCUUCGGACCUUGCGCUAAUAGAUGAGCCUAAGUCGGAUUAGCUAGUUGGUGGGGUAAAGGCCUACCAAGGCGACGAUCUGUAGCGGGUCUGAGAGGAUGAUCCGCCACACUGGGACUGAGACACGGCCCAGACUCCUACGGGAGGCAGCAGUGGGGAAUAUCGGACAAUGGGCGGAAGCCUGAUCCAGCCAUGCCGCGUGUGUGAAGAAGGCCUUUUGGUUGUAAAGCACUUUAAGCGAGGAGGAGGCUACUUAGAUUAAUACUCUGGGAUAGUGGACGUUACUCGCAGAAUAAGCACCGGCUAACUCUGUGCCAGCCGCCGCGGUAAUAC
rnacentral:rRNA from 1 species